AGAGCGAACGCUGGCGGCAGGCUUAACACAUGCAAGUCGAGCGGGCGUAGCAAUACGUCAGCGGCAGACGGGUGAGUAACGCGUGGGAACAUACCUUUUGGUUCGGAACAACACAGGGAAACUUGUGCUAAUACCGGAUAAGCCCUUACGGGGAAAGAUUUAUCGCCGAAAGAUUGGCCCGCGUCUGAUUAGCUAGUUGGUGAGGUAACGGCUCACCAAGGCGACGAUCAGUAGCUGGUCUGAGAGGAUGAUCAGCCACAUUGGGACUGAGACACGGCCCAAACUCCUACGGGAGGCAGCAGUGGGGAAUAUUGGACAAUGGGCGCAAGCCUGAUCCAGCCAUGCCGCGUGAGUGAUGAAGGCCCUAGGGUUGUAAAGCUCUUUUGUGCGGGAAGAUAAUGACGGUACCGCAAGAAUAAGCCCGGCUAACGUUCGUGCCAGCAGCCGC
rnacentral:rRNA from 1 species